GAGGAAGAAGAUUAUGAUAGCAAAAGGGCUUAAUUUCUACCUUUCCAAUGUAAUUUUGGCUUUGCCCUUCUACUUGUGGACUGGUCCUAGUAUUCACCAAACGUUCUUCCUCACGACAACGCCGUCUACAGAGCUCUCCUUUGCUCCAACUCUGGCCUCUGUAACUUUUCCUAUUGCUGAUUUCCAUCCCAGGUUCUUGUUCAUUCUUUUUUGCCAUUU
rnacentral:lncRNA from 1 species